rnacentral:rRNA from 1 species
GACGAACGCUGGCGGCUUGCCUAAUACAUGCAAGUUGAGCGCUGAAGGUUGGUCCUUGUACCAACUGGAUGAGCAGCGAACGGGUGAGUAACGCGUGGGGAAUCUGCCUUUGAGCGGGGGACAACAUUUGGAAACGAAUGCUAAUACCGCAUAAAAACUUUAAACACAAGUUUUAAGUUUGAAAGAUGCAAUUGCAUCACUCAAAGAUGAUCCCGCGUUGUAUUAGCUAGUUGGUGAGGUAAAGGCUCACCAAGGCGAUGAUACAUAGCCGACCUGAGAGGGUGAUCGGCCACAAUGGGACUGAGACACGGCCCAAACUCCUAAGGGAGGCAGCAGUAGGGAAUCUUCGGCAAUGGACGAAAGUCUGACCGAGCAACGCCGCGGGAGUGAAGAAGGGUUUCGGAUCGGAAAACUCUGUUGGUAGAGAAGAACGUUGGGGAGAGUGGAAAGCUCAUCAAGUGACGGUAACUACCCAGAAAGGGACGGCUAACUACGUG